GUAGGUGGCAAGCGUUGUCCGGAUUUAUGGGUUUAAAGGGUGCGUAGGCGGCCUUAUAAGUCAGUGCUGAAAUAUCCCGGCUUAACCGGGAGGGUGGCAUUGAUACUGCAAGGCUUGAGUGUAGUCGAGGUAGGCGGAAUUGACGGUGUAGCGGUGAAAUGCUUAGAUAUCGUCAAGAACACCGAUAGUGUAGACAGCUUACUAGGCUACAACUGACGCUGAGGCACGAAAGUGUGGGGAUCAAACAGGAUUAGAUACCCUGGUAGUCCACACUGUAAACGUUGAUUACUCGAUGUUGGCGAUACACAGUCAGCGUCUUAGCGCAAGCGAUAAGUAAUCCACCUGGGGAGUACGCCGGCAACGGUG
rnacentral:rRNA from 1 species